CCUACGGGUGGCAGCAGUGGGGAAUAUUGCACAAUGGGGGAAACCCUGAUGCAGCGACGCCGCGUGAGGGAAGAAGUAUUUCGGUACGUAAAGCUCUAUCAGCAGGGAAGAAAAUGACGGUACCUGACUAAGAAGCCCAGGCUAACUACGUGCCAGCAGCCGCGGUAAUACGUAGGGGGCCAGCGUUAUCCGGAUUUACUGGGUGUAAAGGGAGCGUAGACGGGACGGCAAGCCAGAAGUGAAAGGGCAGGGCUCAACCCUGUACAUGCUUUUGGAACUGUGGUGCUAGAGUGCAGUAGAGGUAAGUGGAAUUCCUGGUGUAGCGGUGAAAUGCGUAGAUAUUAGGAAGAACACCAGUGGCGAAGGCAGCUUACUGGACUGUAACUGACGUUGAGGCUCGAAAGCGUGGGGAGCAAACAGGAUUAGAUACCCCGGUAGUC
rnacentral:rRNA from 1 species